UUUUCCAAUUUGUUAUAUACUGAACAACUGUUGUGCUCAAGUGGGAAAUUAAAUUCCGCUCACAACCUACAACUCUCGUCGUAUCGUGUCUUGUGUUCUGGAGUGUCCUGACAACUUCCCCCAAAAAUCCAGAAUACUACAAGUGGUGUCAGAAGUGGGAUAGAACUUGAGCAUCGAUAGACGGCAACUAAGAAGCAAGAAAAGAAGAACAUCAUUAGACGGAAACCAAGAAGCAAGAAAGAAAACCUCCGACUUUGGUUGUAUGGAGUUCGAAUGUUCAUUUGUUGAUGGAACUAGCUGGAUUGUGAUGAUUUCUGGGUUUUCUACGAAGAUUGCAGUGUUGGGUACCGGAAUCUGACCCUAGAAAGUGAUUGUUUUGGUCCUUGGUAUGGUUUUUAACCUGUAUCUGCCCUAGUCGGGUGAGUCAAGAUGGCCGUACUUAUAAGAUUGAGACGUGCAGUAUUUUUACCAAAAUUAACGGUGUUUUGUGAUCG